rnacentral:rRNA from 1 species
GACGAACGCUGGCGGCGUGCUUAACACAUGCAAGUCGAACGGAGUGGCGAACGGGGGAGUAACACGUGGGGGAACAGCCCUGCACUUCGGGAUACGCCUGGGAAACUGGGUCGAAUACCGGUUAGUGUGGGAUGCGCCCGCGGCCUAUCAGCUUGUUGGUGGGGUAAUGGUCUACCAAGGCGGCGACGGGUAGCCGGCCUGGGAGGGUGGACGGCCACAAUGGGACUGAGACACGGCCCAGAAUGCUACGGGCGGCAGCAGUGGGGAAUAUUGCACAAUGGGCGGACGCCUGAUGCAGCGACGUCGCGUGGGUGAUGACGGCUUUCUGGUGGUAAACUCCUUCCUCCAUCGACGCGGUAGAUGGAGAAGAAGCACCGGCUAACUACGUGCCAGCAGCCGCGGUAAUAC